CUCUCUAAGAACGGGAUAUCUCGGCUCUCGCAUCGAUGAAGAACGUAGCGAACCGCGAUACUUGGUGUGAAUUGCAUCCUGAACCAUCGAGUCUUUGAACGCAAGUUGCGCCCGAAACCAUCAGUCGAGGGCACGUUGCUCCUGGGUGUCA